rnacentral:lncRNA from 1 species
AGGACAUGAACAGAUCUUUUUGGGAGACACAACUCAGCUAACAACAGAGACCAAUUAGAGGACAUUUGCAAUUGGCCAGCUGAGAAAAUGAGGUGCUGACCAGCAGCACAGACGUGGCGAAAAGGAGGUGAUGAGGAGGAAGAACCAGCCAAGCCCAGCAAGAGGAGUUUUCCACCUGUAACCUAGACACGGUAAACAUUCAGAGGGGAGUAGAGCCUGGCCAGGGUGGGGAGCCAGCCGGAAGAACAUGCUGAUGGUUUUGCCCCUGGAAGGAGGUGACAGGCAGGUGUGCAUGGCUAGAGAGCCCCCGAGGACCAGAACAGAGGGAAGAGAAAUGCAGCAUCAAAAACACAGAGCUUGGAAAUACUCCUGUCUCCUCCAAACACAUCUCUCCCCACUGCCUGGAGGGGCAUCGUUUGAACACUGAUUUGUGCGUUUAGGUCACUGGAUCCCUGAACCCCUACCUACCUGCCAUGCAGAAUGCCCGGCCACUGCUAUUAUCUGGUUUUGUCAUAUGGUAGCGCUUUGUACUCUCAGUCACCUCCCUUGGAGUCUGUGAUUAAUAAUCCCUUCCUUUAAAGUUGAGGUGCCCAGGCUGUUUGUCAGUGUGUGUUCACCCCAGCCCAGUCAGCAGCCCUCUGCAGUGCUGAGCUAUAGUUCCAUGGUUUUCUGGGUGCUGGGGCAGACCAGACCAUGCCGAGUGCAAGCCCUGGUCCUGUCUUUAAUUAGUAGCUGCGUGGUCUCAGGAAACUUGGCCUCUCUGGGCCUCAGAUUCUUCAUCUGUAAUACAGGCGUAAUAGCACUGCCUAAAUUCAAAGUUGCCCUGAGGAUCAGGUAAGGUAUGAGAGGUAGGAGUCACGAGAAUUAAAUAAGAAGGCAUGCCAAAGGUGAACCCCACAGCUAAGUGUUCACCAUGCAGCAAUUCUCAGGAGCUGGUAGUCGUAUGAAUUGUCACAAAGUGCCUCAUGGUGCACAUGCUGAUGGGAAACGAUUGCUUUAAUAGUCUGAGAAGACCUGCUAGAGAAACUGGGUUUCCAGAAGAGUUUUGAUGAAUAAAAGCAAUGGGAACAAUCAUACUGAAAGGAAGUGUUGUGUAUCAUGGGCCUGCCUUCCAAAUGCAGGGCACUGUGUGCAACACAGCAGCCAAUGCAAGUUUUAUUAACUUCCUCCGUGAUAACUACUUCAGACAAUAUUCCAAAAUGGAAUACAAUCACCACCUCUCCAGUAGUUCUCAGAAUAUCUGCUGGGAUAAAGACAUCUCCUGCAAAGCUACAUGAAGAAGUUUCCUCAGGAGAAACUGCUGUAUAAUACAACAGCAAGUGUUAAGUGUGUAGACUUG